rnacentral:rRNA from 1 species
UACGUAGGGGGCUAGCGUUGUCCGGAAUCAUUGGGCGUAAAGCGCGCGUAGGCGGCCAGAUAAGUCCGGUGUGAAAGCCACAGGCUCAACCUGUGAAUGCCGCUGGAAACUGUCUGGCUAGAGUCCGGGAGGGGCGAGUGGAAUUCCUGGUGUAGCGGUGAAAUGCGCAGAUAUCAGGAGGAACACCAAUGGCGAAGGCAGCUCGCUGGAGCGGAACUGACGCUGAGGCGCGAAAGCGUGGGGAGCGAACAGG